UCAAGCUAUCAGCAGGCAAUUGAAAAUACCUUCUUUUAUGAGAGGGUCAAGAUAGUUUUGUUUUAAGAUCUGUACUUACCGGCAGAAUUGAUUGCAGUUAUGUGCAGAGAAAAAUAUUUCAUUCUCUAUCUCUGACAGAAAGUGGAAAGAGGAAACACUGAAAACAGGAAAAUAUGUGUGAUAUCUAUAGAACAGCAGAUACGUAACUCACAGAGCAGCUGAAGAAUUAAAUCAGAGGAUGUCACUGGCAAGGAUCUUCCUAGUAACAGCAGGAAAUCAGAAGAACUCUCAAAGGAACCAAAGAAUGGGGAAUCCAGGGUGGAGCUAAUUCUGCUGUCCUCCAGUAGCCCUGGACCUGAUCUGAACAGAAAUCACCAACAGCUUAUAAAGAAUGGAAAUGGGACAAGAAAACAUCAGAUUCUGUACCCACAAAGAGAACUGACCCAACAUAGUAAGCAGCUGAAAAAUGGGAAUGUCAAUUAAUUCCUCUCUUCCCUUCUUUGCCUCUUCUAUAAGGCCAGGGUUGAAUAUC
rnacentral:lncRNA from 12 species